rnacentral:rRNA from 1 species
GGUUUGCUGGACAUAUCACAAGUGCGAAUGCUGACAUGAGUAACGAUAAUGGGGGUGAAAAACCCCCACGCCGGAAGACCAAGGUUUCCUGUCCCAUGCUAAUCAGGGCAGGGUAAGUCGGCCCCUAAGGCGAGGCAGAGAUGCGUAGUCGAUGGGAAACGGGUUAAUAUUCCCGUACUUAUAAGUACAGUGAUGGGGUGACGGAGAAGGCUAGGCUGGCAUGGCGUUGGUUGUCCAUGUGAAAGUGCGUAGGGUUGAAUUUUUGGUAAAUCCGGAAUUCUAUGUGCCUGAGACACGAGACGAUGCACUACGGUGCAGAAGCAGUUGAUGCCCGGCUUCCAGGAAAACCCUCUAAACGUAUGUACUUAUGAACCGUACCCCAAACCGACACAGGUGGUCAGGUAGAGAAUACUAAGGCGCUUGAGAGAACCCGGGUGAAGGAACUCGGCAAAAUAGUACCGUAACUUCGGGAGAAGGUACGCCGCUGUUUGUGAACUCUUCGCGAGGUAAGCAGAUGGUGGCCGCAGUGACCAGAUGGCUGGGACUGUUUAUUAAAAACACAGCACUGUGCUAACACGAAAGUGGACGUAUACGGUGUGACACCUGCCCGGUGCCGGAAGGUUAAUUGAUGGGGUUAGACGUAAGUCGAAGCUCCUGAUCGAAGCCCCGGUAAACGGCGGCCGUAACAAUAACGGUCCUAAGGUAGCGAAAUUCCUUGUCGGGUAAGUUCCGACCUGCACGAAUGGUGUAACCAUGGCCAUGCUGUCUCCACCCGGGACUCAGUGAAAUUGAAAUCGCAGUGAAGAUGCUGUGUACCCGCACCUAGACGGAAAGACCCCGUGAACCUUUACUACAGCUUGGCACUGAACAUUGACCCUACAUGUGUAGGAUAGGUGGGAGGCUUUGAAACGUUGUCGCCAGAUAGCGUGGAGCUGCCCUUGAAAUACCACCCUUGUAUGUUUGAUGUUCUAACAUUGGCCCCUUAUCGGGGUUGUGGACAGUGUCUGGUGGGUAGUUUGACUGGGGCGGUCUCCUCCCAAAUAGUAACGGAGGAGCACGAAGGUUGGCUAAUCCUGGUCGGACAUCAGGAGGUUAGUGCAAUGGCAUAAGCCGGCUUAACUGCGAGACAGACACGUCG